rnacentral:lncRNA from 1 species
CAGGUAUUUUGUCACAGCAAUGGAUAUCAGACUAAUACAACAAAAGAGAACAAAGAAUGAAAAGAAAAACAAUGCCCUUCUCCAUCCUCCCAUCUGCCAUGCCACCAGAUACAAAGGAAAAUUAUAUUCCCCAGCCACCCAAUAUCUCAGAAGGAAGAUAUGGCC